UGGGGAAUUUUGGACAAUGGGGGAAACCCUGAUCCAGCCAUCCCGCGUGUGCGAUGAAGGCCUUCGGGUUGUAAAGCACUUUUGGCAGGAAAGAAACGUCGCGGGUUAAUACCCCGCGAAACUGACGGUACCUGCAGAAUAAGCACCGGCUAACUACGUGCCAGCAGCCGCGGUAAUACGUAGGGUGCAAGCGUUAAUCGGAAUUACUGGGCGUAAAGCGUGCGCAGGCGGUUCGGAAAGAAAGAUGUGAAAUCCCAGAGCUUAACUUUGGAACUACAUUUUUAACUACCGGGCUAGAGUGUGUCAGAGGGAGGUGGAAUUCCGCGUGUAGCAGUGAAAUGCGUAGAUAUGCGGAGGAACACCGAUGGCGAAGGCAGCCUCCUGGGAUAACACUGACGCUCAUGCACGAAAGCGUGGGGAGCAAACAGGAUUAGAUACCCUGGUAGUCCACGCCCUAAACGAUGUCAACUAGCUGUUGGGGCCUUCGGGCCUUGGUAGCGCAGCUAACGCGUGAAGUUGACCGCCUGGGGAGUACGGUCGCAAGAUUAAAACUCAAAGGAAUUGACGGGGGUCGAUAG
rnacentral:rRNA from 1 species